rnacentral:misc_RNA from 1 species
UAGAACAUCAAACAGUGCUUAAUUAGAAAAUGCAUAAGACAUAUAAUAAUUUAACUUAAAGAUUUCAUUUGCCGAAAUACCGAACUAUAAACAACCACUCCUUUUUGCAUAAUGUUGAAUUAUACACAACUUCCAAUACGUGUACAGAUCCGGAAUCAAAUACAGCAAAAUAUCACCAUUAUGAUGACCUGUGACUCCAUAACUCUACAGGAUCUACAGGAGCCAUGAAUUUUAAUGCAAUUAUGAUAAAUGGUAAUAAGGGUGGUUGCUAGACAAGUAAGCAGGAGCGAAGCUAUAGUAGUUUCUACUAGGAAAACUGGGCAAAAGAAGGUAUGUAGUGGGUCGUAAAUGGACACUUGUCACUGACGAAGUAGCCAGAGCAAUAGAGUAAGUAUCCCUUAGGCUAGCAAUCAAAGGUAUGUAGUGGGUUACAAAGGGACACACUUGUGCAGGGGUGCACAUUUUGGGUCAUAUGGGCAACAUUAAGCAUAAUAACAUUUACAAAUGUUAAUAAUCCUCGUGUUUAUCAAGUGGUACAUGCGGAAUACUUUAAUUAUCUUACAACCUUUUGUCACAAGAUACAGACAAUGUAACGGCGGACGUGUGGGUUUUAGUCACUUAUGAGUUACAUAAUUAUCUCCCCUUGUAAAAAACGCCAUUUGUAAUGGAAACGUUUUGCCAACGUUCUGGCACGUUUCUUUGUUGAAGAAUUUUGUGCGUUGCGUCGACUAUAAGGCCCAAAUAGAGUUCGACGGAUUAAAUUCCUGUAAAAGAAACUAUUUGGGUUUUGGUUAUUAUUCUUCUGGCGUGCGGUCAGCUUAUGUUGUCACAGUCGAACUCUAUGGAAAAUUGGAGCAACCACAGCUGAUGAGAAGAGUAUUGACCAGUUGACCCCAAGAUUCAGCUGCCAAGGUUCUUGAAGAAAAUUGCGUCAAGUUCAGGAAUUUUCCAAGAAAAGGAAAUUGUAAAUUCAGAGAUUGUGUGUGACUGGUUACAAUUAUAGAGAUUUCCUGGGUGCAUGAAUAAAUACUCGGCCAGUUUUAUAGCAGUUUAUGCUCAACUCGUGUACUUUGUUUAAACUUUAAAGGUGUUUACCCGAUUUGUGAGUUUGGAAUGCUCAGCCAUUUAUACAUGUACUUUGUAAAAAAAAUGUUUAAAGGUGUUUUGUCAGACUUAGUGAGCUUAGAAUGUUUGAUCAUUUUUAUAUGAAAUUCGUUUAAAUGUGUUUAACCAGACUUCAGGCUGAAUAUGCUAGGCAACUUAUCCAUGUAUGUAAUUUGCCUAAAGGUGGUGUACUAGACUUCAUAUACUUGGGAGGCUCAACCAUUUCUUAUAUGUGUGUAUUGUCUUUAAAGGUGGUGUAUUAGACUUCGUAGCUCGGGAAUGCUUGACCACCUAUAACUGUAUUAAAAUUUGACUGAACGCUGGUGCAACCAUCGGCGUUUAGUUUAAAGUGACCACUCUUUGCUGUCUAUUUUUUUGUUGGUUGAAUUAGCCAUUUGUUAAAAUGUCAGACCGGCCCGAGACAUCAUCUCAUGAUACCAUUGUCCCUCAAGAGCCCGAGACCGAUAAUGUCUCUCUACGAAGGAGUGAAAGAGAACAUAAACCCUCCGAACGGGGCUUACAAUAUGAAAUCGGUAUGCGCGAAAAGAAGUUCAAAUCUGCCGUAUCAGCGUGGCGUGCCAACAUUAGCAAAAUGUCAGUACUACUCUCUGAUAGCGAUAAUCUUGAUGAAAUCCGCAGUGGUAGAGAUAAUCUUGAACAGUCACUCAAUGAUACUAGGGUUGCCUUCAGUAGCCUAAAUCAGUUACUUGAGUCUGAUGACACCGGGAGUCAGGUAUGUACGGUCUUAGAAGACCUUGAAAUGGAACAUCAGCAGUUUAUGUGUAAAAUUGCCGAUAGGAUUUGCGAAAUAAGGUCCGAAAAUAACUCGGUGAAUACUCGUGUUUCGUCACGCAGUAGUCGGUCAAAAAGAACAAAAUAUUCAGCUGCUUCAAAACGCUCAGACGCGGCAGUCGAAGCUGCAAUAUUAAAAACAAAAUUAAGGUAUAUUGAUGCCGAAGCCAAAUCAAGGGCUGAAUUUGAAAGGGUCAUUACUCAAAAGGAAUUAGAAAUGGCUGAAGUCAAAUUAGGGAUAUAUAAUGAUGCAUGCUCAGAAAUAUCAGAUGCAAACGUGCUCAAGGUUAUACCUGAAUUGCUUGUCCCUACUUGCAGUAAAGAAGAAAUUGUUAGUAAUUAUAUAAACAGUUGUGACCCUCAAAUGGAUACUGUACAGGAAACUCCUAUUGUAAACCAGUCCUAUAUGACACACAAGGUUUCCAUUGCUACUGAAACAUUUGUCUCUGACUCUCAGGUCAGUGUGAAGUCUCCUCUUAUUCCUACUACUACAAACCUUUCUGUUGCUCCACAGACUUCAAAUGAAAACACUGUAAGUUCAGCUGAGCCAUUAGUGCACUUUCCACCUAGGACCAACUUAUCUUUGGCUGAUAACUCACCUUCACAAGAGAUUGUUAAUCUCACAAAAUCUUUGACUGAACAUCUUAUGAUUAACUGUCUCCCACCUCCAGAACCUGGCAUCUUUGAUGGUGACCCUCUGAAAUACCCGGGCUGGAAGUCAGCCUUUUCGACCUUAAUCGAACAAAAGCGUAUCCCUGCUUCAGAAAAGAUCCACUACCUAAGGAAAUACCUUGGAGGUCCAGUAAGGGAAGUAGUGGCAAAUUUCUUUUUACUUUCUUCAGAAGAAGCUUAUGAAGAGGCUAAGUCGGUAUUAGACCACCGUUAUGGUAACCCUUUCAGAGUGGCUUGUGCAUUCCGUGACAAACUCGAGUCUUGGCCUAAGAUCUCAUCCAGAGAUUCUCAGUCUUUGUUAAAACUUGCUGAUUUCCUCAAACAGUGCCUAACGGCAAUGCAGUCUAUUUCUAGCCUGUCUGUUUUGAAUGACUGUCAGGAAAACAGAAAGAUUCUUUCAAAAUUGCCAGAAUGGGUCGUUUCAAGGUGGAACAGGUCAGUCGCUGAUUAUAGGGAACGGCAUGACAGCUUUCCCCCCUUUCGUGUCUUUGUAGAAUUCAUGACAAAGGAAGCGAAGAUUGCUAGUGACCCUGUCACUUCGCUACAGUCGUUAAGAAGCCAAAAUCUAUUGGACAACCCUAAAGGUACCAAGUUUACAGGCCGAUCAGACAAGAAUCAGUUUGGUUCCCGUGCUUUCGCCUCAUUCUCUAGUGAUAGCUCUACUCAGACUUCCAACCCCAAGGUCAGUAGACCCAACUGCCCCCUGUGUAGUAAAUCACAUGCACUUGAUUUAUGUAAUCAGUUCUUAGCGAAAACCCUAAAUGACAGAAAGAGUUUUGCUCGUGAAAAGGAGUUAUGCUUUGGCUGUCUUGGUACUGGCCAUAUUUCAAAGUUCUGUAAAGGUCGCUUGAAAUGUAAGUUCUGUACGAAGUUGCACCCCUCAUCUUUGCAUGGAGAUAAAAAAGCCCCGUGUAACUUAGGCGAAAAUAGCGACAAAAAUCAAAUAGAUGGUGAGAGGACUCAUACAGGUGUAACAUUUCUAAGUGACAGUAGCGCACCUAAUAAGUGUUCUAUGGUAGUUCCGGUGUAUGUUUCACACAUUGAUAACCCAGGUGUGGAACGGUUGGUGUAUGCCUUGCUUGACACCCAGAGUGAUACUACAUUCAUACUUGAUGACACUUGUGACGAGUUAGGUUUGUCUGGUGUGGAGGUCAAUCUUUCUCUCUCUACGAUGUAUGCCGAGAAUAGACUGGUUAAGAGUUUGAAGGUGAAAGGGUUAAUGGUGCGUGCAUUUGACAACCCUAUAAAAAUUUCACUCCCAGAUGCCUUCACUAGGAGUAUUAUACCCGCAAAUCGCUCUCAUAUACCUACUCCCGACACAGCUCUUUCAUGGCCACAUCUACAGGGUGUUGCAGAAUAUUUGUCUCCCUUGUUACCGUGCGAAAUAGGGUUGCUUAUUGGUUAUAACUGCCCACAGGCUUUGGUACCUAGAGAAGUAAUUCCUCCAGUUGGAGAUGGACCAUAUGCCCAGAAAACUGACCUUGGUUGGGGCAUAGUCGGUAUUGUAGGCUCGUUUGCAGAUCAGGAUUGUAUUGGAUUUAGCCACAGAGUUGUUACUUGUGAGCUCCCUCAUUCAUUGAGAACGAGUGAAGAGUCACGCUCGAGUGUUCUGUUUUCACUUCGCACUUCGACUAAAGAAGUUGCACCCAUUGAUGUAAUUAAGCUGAUGGAGCAUGACUUUAAAGAUUCUGCCGAUCAUGGUAGUCCUGUAUCACAAGACGAUAGGCGGUUUCUUUCAGUUUUAGACAAACAUAUCUCUUUGAGAAAUGGUCACUAUGAAAUGCCCCUCCCCUUUCGAGAUCAGGAACUCUCUUUGCCUAACAACAAGUCUGUUGCCUUGCGUCUUUUAGGUUCUUUGAUAAAGCGCUUUGACAAAGACAAAAAAUUUCGGUCUCAUUACUCUGAUUUCAUGCAGCGCCUUAUUGAUAAUGAUCAUGCAGAAAAGAUUCCUAGCAGUGAAACAGAUGCUGACAGCGGUCGUGUAUGGUAUGUCCCACAUCAUGGGGUAUACCACCCCAAGAAACCCGAUAAAAUUCGCGUUGUCUUUGACUGUAGUGUUUCUUACCAAGGCCAUUGUCUUAAUUCAUACCUCCUUCAGGGUCCAGACUUAACCAACAAGCUUAUUGGUGUUUUAACUCGGUUCAGGAAGGAAAGGGUCGCCAUAAUGUGCGACAUCGAACAGAUGUUUAACCAGUUCCGUGUCAUCCCAGAACACAGAAACUUUCUAAGGUUUCUAUGGUGGAGUGGUGAGGACUACCAUAAACCCCCCGAAGAUUUUCGCAUGAAGGUACAUUUGUUCGGGGCAACAUCCCCCCCUGGCUGCGCCAACUUUGGCCUUAAACGACUGGCCUCUGAAAAUGAAGAAGAAUUUGGUAGUGAUGUCACUUCCUUUAUCCAUAGGGACCUCUAUGUCGAUGACGGGUUGAAAUCAUUUCCCACUGCGAAGGAAGCAGUAAGUUUGAUUGACAAGAGUAAAGAAUUGUGCAGUAAAGGCGGGCUAAGGUUGCAUAAGUUUGUGUCCAAUGACAAGGAUGUUAUUGCACAUUUUGACCCAUCAGAUAGGGCUAAGGAUUUGAAGGAUAUCAAUCUAUUGAGUGACAAAUUACCGAUAGAAAGAGCUCUUGGCAUUCAGUGGUGCACAGAGUCAGAUACCUUUCAGUUCAAAAUUGAGGCAAAUGAUCGACCACUAAACGGGCGUGGAAUCUUAUCUGCUGUAGGUUCAUUAUAUGACCCACUAGGCUUUAUCUCCCCUGUUGUUUUGAUUGCUAAACAAAUACUUCAGCAGCUUUGUUCAGACAAUCUGGGCUGGGACGACCCUCUACCAGACUAUCUAAGAGUGAAGUGGGAGAAAUGGCGGGCUAGUCUUGCGCAUUCAGAUACCUUAAGAAUAAAGAGGUGUUUGAAGCCUGAGGGGUUUGGUGAAGUGGUUUCAGCAGAGUUGCAUCACUUCUCCGAUGCAAGUUCCACAGGUUACGGUCAGUGCUCUUACAUACGGCUAGUAAAUGCAGAAGGGUCUGUGCACUGUUCAUUUCUCUUUGGCAAAUCCAGAGUGAUUCCAUUGAAGCCAAUAACUAUUCCACGUCUUGAGUUGUCUGCUGCUCUGUUGUCGAUAAGAGUUGGUCUACUUCUUGAUCAAGAGCUUGACCUUGAAUCUGUUAAGCAUUUCUACUGGACUGAUAGUCGAGUUGUCCUAGGUUAUAUUGCAAAUGAAUCGAAAAGAUUCCAUGUUUUCGUUGCCAACAGAAUUCAACAAAUUCGUGACCAUUCAGAAGUGUCUCAGUGGAAAUACGUGGAGUCUGCACAAAACCCGGCAGAUAUUGCAUCGCGUGGAGUCAAUCCUGAGGAGUUGACAAGCAAUUCUCUUUGGUUUGUUGGUCCAGAUUUUCUUUGGUCAGGUACUUUACCAAAUGCAGAAAUUGAAGCUGAAGUACAUGCAGCUGACCCAGAAGUAAAAUGUGUUAAAACCCUCGCAACAGGUGUUAAGGAAAUUCAGUAUCCUAGCAUGAUCGAUCGCUUGAGUUAUUUCUCAGAUUGGCAUCGUGCAAAAAGGGCUUUCGCGUUGUGUCUCAGGUUUCGAGACAAACUGUUUCAGAAAUAUGUUCAUACUAGGAAUACACACAAUGACGAGAGACAGAAACAACAUUUUCAAUCUCUAUCUUUUUCCCAUUAUCAGUCUCCUUCUGUUUCGGAGUUGCAGGCUGCAGAACUACAAAUACUCAAACUCUUACAAUCUAUGCACUUUCAGCAUGAAAUUGCUACCCUGAAAAGGAAUAGUGUUCGAGGUUCUAGUGAUAGGAAUACUCUUAAAAAUCACCGCAAGAUUCUUAAGCGAGAGUCUCACUUGCUACGGCUAGAUCCUUUCCUAGAUCAAGACGGUAUCAUUAGGGUUGGUGGUCGAAUCAGACAGCUUGAUGUCCCUAGCAAUGUUAAACACCCAAUCAUUGUGCCCAAAGGAGGUCACAUUACAGACCUAAUAAUAAGACAUUUUCAUCAAAGGGUAUACCACCAAGGGCGUGGCAUCACUAUUAAUGAGAUUCGAGAUCAUGGCCUUUGGAUAAUUGGUAUCAGUUCAGGUGUUUCCUCAGUAAUAUAUAAGUGUGUCACAUGUCGUAGGCUUAGAGGCAUGGUUCAAGAUCAGAAAAUGUCCGACCUCCCGACUGACCGUUUAGAACCUGCUCCCCCCUUUACCUACUGUGCAGUGGAUUAUUUUGGUCCAAUUUUGAUUAAAGAGGGGAGAAAGGAGUUGAAAAGGUAUGGGGUACUGUUUACAUGUCUCUUGUGUAGAGCAGUUCACGUUGAGACUGCAAAUACGUUAGAAACCGAUUCAUUCAUAAAUUGCCUUCGACGUUUCAUAUCAAUACGUGGACCUAUUAGGCAGUUACGCAGCGACCGAGGUACAAAUUUCGUGGGCGCUCAAAAUGAGUUUCACGAAGCUGCAUCAAAAUUAGAUUCGGAACGUAUUCAGGAAUAUUUAUUAAAGGAGAAUUGCGACCUAAUUGAUUUUAAGAUGAACGUACCUUCGGCAAGUCACAUGGGUGGCGUUUGGGAACGCCAGAUUAGGUCGGUUAGGAAUGUUCUCGAUUCGCUGUUGUUAGAGCACGGUUCAAAUUUAGAUGACGAGAGCUUAAGGACCUUCUUAUGCGAAGCUUCCGCUAUUGUUAAUAGUAGGCCACUCACUGUAGAGGGUUUGAAUGAUCCACUUUCACCCACACCUUUGACCCCUAAUCAUCUGUUAACGCAGAAAUCCAAGGUCAUCUUACCCCCACCUGCGAACUUUCAACGUGUUGACCUUUACUCAAGGAAACGUUGGCGGCGGGUACAGUAUUUAGUAGAUCAGUUCUGGGUUAGAUGGAAAAGUGAAUUUCUGCAGAAUCUGCAAACGUGGAAUAAGUGGCAUUUUCGUAAACGUAAUGUUCAAAUAGGAGAUAUAGUGUUACUGAAGGAUGAUAACCUUCCGCGAAAUCAGUGGCGUUUGGGUCGAGUCGUAGAAACAACAACAGAUACUGAUGGUCUUGUUCGAAAGGUUAAACUUGCUUUACCAUCUGUAGGCGCGGGGAAACAAACGAGUUUAGUGUACUAUGAGAGACCAAUUCACAAACUGAUCAUUUUGUUGGAGACCGAAGAAGUCCCCGUCGGGAAGCCAUAGAUUGUGUAGACACGAGGCUUUCUGAUAGUUUAUUCAGUGUAUGGACAAUUACAAGUGAAAAUCAGUAUUUUCCCUCUUUGGGUAACUGUACUAUAAGCAGACAACACUGUUAUGUUAUUUUGCAUCAUGUUUAUUUUGUAUUAUGUUUGGGACAUGUAAAAUUAGUAAUGUUAUUACUAAUUUGGGGAGCCAUGUAACGGCGGACGUGUGGGUUUUAGUCACUUAUGAGUUACAUAAUUAUCUCCCCUUGUAAAAAACGCCAUUUGUAAUGGAAACGUUUUGCCAACGUUCUGGCACGUUUCUUUGUUGAAGAAUUUUGUGCGUUGCGUCGACUAUAAGGCCCAAAUAGAGUUCGACGGAUUAAAUUCCUGUAAAAGAAACUAUUUGGGUUUUGGUUAUUAUUCUUCUGGCGUGCGGUCAGCUUAUGUUGUCACAGACAAUUAACCAUCGAUUUUAGACUGAUGCAAUACUGAUAGCAUCAAAGUCGCUCAAAACAACAUGUAAACCAGGAUCCAUUAUCACAAACGCACUUUAAGUCCUGUGAUGUUCGUAAAGUGUACGUAAGGUAUUCGUAGCGGAUUUCUCGAAAGCAUUGUUAUUUACGAUGCUUUGUGAAUGUCCUCGUAAGUUGAGGCUGAAGAACCCACCCCUUGACGUUCUCGUAGCGUAUAAAAACUUAUGUAUUUCUACCUAUCUGAAGCUGAAUCUGUUUGUCUCUCAUUGUGCCACGCUGAAACUGGCGGGAAUAUAUUCAUUGAAGUUGUCAUUCCGUCCGUUCGUGUCAACGAACCUGAAUUUAUUUCAUAUGGAUGGGUUUUAAUGUUUUUAGUUACUGUGUUGUUUUUAGAUAAAAAAGCGCCGAUUUUAAUACUCUUUAAAAUCCCUUAACACCUGUUCGUUUGCAUCCGGGCCAUACGUUCAACGGUUUGUCAGAAUUGCAAGGCAUUUGAAUCGUAAGGACUAUGCUUUUGCCCCUUCAUAAUAAACCUACAUGUUUAUACUUUUUGGUAAUUGGCACCGACGGUAUUUUGAUAUGAUAAUCAAUUAAAAAAUUACAAAUAAAUGUUGGCUUUUACCAUAGUUAUUGCUGUAUAUAUUUACUGGCGGAUGCUAUUCAUCAAAAGGUGUUGGAAAUAAAUGAAAACAUAACAGUCAAUUCUCUGAAAAUCGCACUGAAAGUUUUAGCGCAGUAUGAUACACAUUGUCUUUAUAGAAAUACAUAAUGUGUAUCCUUUAAGGUAUGUAUAUCACAAUUAUGGUUGAAAUUUCCCAUCACGGUAUGAAGGCGUGAAACUCUUACUUUCUUAUCACAAGUGUGACCUUGUUUCUUGCAAACUCUAACAGUGUUGUUGCACAGAGGUUAUGUAUUUUAAUUAAAGAUUGAUACAGUUGAAAAGUUGAUUAGUGGAAAGAUUCUUUGAAUAUAAGUGUUAUAUAUAUUUAAUUUGCUCUUUGAAUAUACAUUAGAAAAACACUGUACACUCCUUAUUAUACAAAAGAUGGUAGAUCUAUAUGUGGCCAAAAGUUUAUUAGAGUUUAAGUUUAACAUAAAGCUAUUGAGCAUCUCUAAAAUAAUUAUAUGGGCUAUUCAUCGCUGAAAUAUCAAACAAUUGUUUUUACUUUAUAACGAAAUAAAGUCUGAUAAAAAUGAGACAUUGUACGGUUGGCAAGGGAUAAAAGGUAUAUAUUUCCCUUGUUGUUUAGCAAUAGACAACUUUUGGGCUAUCAGGUACACGUGCAGUUGGUCGAAAAUGACGUCAUUAAAUGGA